ACGAACGCUGGCGGCGUGCCUAAUACAUGCAAGUCGAGCGGACCUUUCGGGGUCAGCGGCGGACGGGUGAGUAACACGUGGGCAAUCUGCCCGAUACUCUGGGAUAACGCUUGGAAACGAGUGCUAAUACCGGAUGGUCUUCUUGGCCGCAUGGCCGAGAAGGAAAAGACGCGUUCGCGUCGGUGUCGGAUGAGCCCGCGGCGCAUUAGCUAGUUGGUGAGGUAACGGCCCACCAAGGCGACGAUGCGUAGCCGACCUGAGAGGGUGACCGGCCACACUGGGACUGAGACACGGCCCAGACUCCUACGGGAGGCAGCAGUAGGGAAUCUUCCACAAUGGGCGAAAGCCUGAUGGAGCAACGCCGCGUGAGUGAUGAAGGCCUUCGGGUUGUAAAACUCUGUCAUUCGGGACGAACCGGAGUCUGAGGAAAUGCAGACUCUCUGACGGUACCGGAGGAGGAAGCCCCGGCUAACUACGUGCCAGCAGCCGCGGUAAUACGUAGGGGGCAAGCGUUGUCCGGAUUCACUGGGCGUAAAGCGCGCGCAGGCGGUGAUGUAAGUCUGAGGUGAAAACCCGAAGCUCAACUUCGGGACUGCCUUGGAUACUGCGUCACUUGAGGAUAGGAGAGGCAAAGGGGAAUUUCCACGUGUAGCGGUGAAAUGCGUAGAGAUGUGGAGGAACACCUGUGGCGAAAGGCGCCUUGCUGGCCUAUUUCUGACGCUGAGGCGCGAAAGCGUGGGGAGCAAACAGGAUUAGAUACCCUGGUAGUCCACGCUGUAAACGAUGAGUGCUAGGUGUAGGUGGGCUCAUACCCAUCUGUGCCGAAGCUAACGCAUUAAGCACUCCGCCUGGGGAGUACGGUCGCAAGACUGAAACUCAAAGGAAUUGACGGGGGCCCGCACAAGCAGUGGAGCAUGUGGUUUAAUUCGAAGCAACGCGAAGAACCUUACCAGGACUUGACAUCCCAUAGACCAGUCUAGAGAUAGACUUUCCCUUCGGGGCUGUGGUGACAGGUGGUGCAUGGUUGUCGUCAGCUCGUGUCGUGAGAUGUUGGGUUAAGUCCCGCAACGAGCGCAACCCUUACUUUGUGUUGCCAGCAUUCAGUUGGGCACUCACAAGGGACUGCCGCCGAUAAGGCGGAGGAAGGUGGGGAUGACGUCAAAUCAUCAUGCCCCUUAUGUCCUGGGCUACACACGUGCUACAAUGGGCGGUACAACGGGAUGCGAAGCCGCGAGGUGGAGCCAAACCCUGAAAACCGUUCGUAGUUCGGAUUGUAGGCUGCAACUCGCCUACAUGAAGCCGGAAUUGCUAGUAAUCGCGGAUCAGCAUGCCGCGGUGAAUCCGUUCCCGGGCCUUGUACUCACC
rnacentral:rRNA from 1 species